CAGCAGCCGCGGUAAUACGGAGGGUGCAAGCGUUAAUCGGAAUUACUGGGCGUAAAGCGUGCGUAGGCGGUUCGUUAAGUCUGUUGUGAAAGCCCCGGGCUCAACCUGGGAAUGGCAAUGGAUACUGGCGAGCUAGAGUGUGUCAGAGGAUGGUGGAAUUCCCGGUGUAGCGGUGAAAUGCGUAGAGAUCGGGAGGAACAUCAGUGGCGAAGGCGGCCAUCUGGGACAACACUGACGCUGAGGCACGAAAGCGUGGGGAGCAAACAGGAUUAGAUACCCGAGUAGUCCCUGUCUCUUAUAC
rnacentral:rRNA from 1 species